rnacentral:lncRNA from 1 species
UCUCUAUCUAUGAUAAUAUUCAAGAUAAUAACCAAAAACGGCAAAAUUUCCUUAAAAUUACCAAUUCAGGGGCAGCAACCUAUCAACGGGUUGUCCGAUUCAUCUCAAAAUUUCAGGGCAGAUAGAUCUUGACCUGAUUAACAAUUUUAAAGAUUUGCUCUAAAUGCUUUGGUUUUUGAGUUAUAAGCCAAAAACUGCAUUUUACCCCUAUGUUCUAUUUUUAGCCAUGGCGGCCAUCUUGGUUGGUUGGCCGGGUCACCGGACACAAUUUUUAAACUAGAUACCCUAAUAAUGAUUGUGGCCAAGUUUGGUAAAAAUUGGCCCAGUAGUUUCAGAGGAGAAGAUUUUUGUAAAAGUUAACGACGGACGACGACGACGCCGGACGCCGGACGCCGGACGCCAAGUGAUGAGAAAAGCUCACUUGGCCCUUUGGGCCAGGUGAGCUAAAAAGGCAGGGCGCC